rnacentral:rRNA from 1 species
UACAUGGGGUGCAAACGUUGCUCGGAAUCAUUGGGCGUAAAGCGCACGUAGGCGGCCACUUAAGUCGGAUGUGAAAGCCCUUGGCUUAACCAAGGAAGUGCAUCCGAAACUGAGCGGCUUGAGUACGAAAGAGGGUCGCGGAAUUCCCGGUGUAGAGGUGAAAUUCGUAGAUAUCGGGAGGAACACCGGCGGCGAAGGCGGCGACCUGGUUCGAGACUGACGCUGAGGUGCGAAAGCGGGGGGAGCAAACAGGAUUAGAUACCCUGGUAGUCCACGCCGUAAACGAUGGAUGCUAGAUGUUUCUGGUAUUGACCCCGGAGGCGUCGUAGCUAACGCGUUAAGCAUCCCGCCUGGGGAGUACGGCCGCAAGGCUAAA